GUCCAUGCCGUAAACGGUGGGCGCUAGGUGUGGGGUCCUUCCACGGACUCCGUGCCGUAGCUAACGCAUUAAGCGCCCCGCCUGGGGAGUACGGCCGCAAGGCUAAAACUCAAAGGAAUUGACGGGGGCCCGCACAAGCGGCGGAGCAUGUGGAUUAAUUCGAUGCAACGCGAAGAACCUUACCUAGGCUUGACAUAUACAGGACGACGGCAGAGAUGUCGUUUCCCUUGUGGCUUGUAUACAGGUGGUGCAUGGUUGUCGU
rnacentral:rRNA from 1 species